GACGAACGCUGGCGGCGUGCUUAACACAUGCAAGUCGAACGGUGAAGCUCCAGCUUGCUGGAGUGGAUCAGUGGCGAACGGGUGAGUAACACGUGAGCAACCUGCCCCUGACUCUGGAAUAAGCGCUGGAAACGGCGUCUAAUACUGGAUACGAGAAGGGUCCGCAUGGGCACUUUCUGGAAAGUUUUUCGGUUGGGGAUGGGCUCGCGGCCUAUCAGCUUGUUGGGGAGGUAAUGGCUCACCAAGGCGACGACGGGUAGCCGGCCUGAGAGGCCGACCGGCCACACUGGGCCUGAGACACGGCCCAGACUCCUACGGGAGGCAGCAGUGGGGAAUCUUGCACAAUGGGCGAAAGCCUGAUGCAGCGACGCCGCGUGAGGGAUGACGGCCUUCGGGUUGUAAACCUAUUUCAGCAGGGAAGAAGCGAAAGUGACGGUACCUGCAGAAGAAGCACCGGCUAACUACGUG
rnacentral:rRNA from 1 species